UUGACCUCGGAUCAGGUAGGAAUACCCGCUGAACUUAAGCAUAUCAAUAAGCGGAGGAAAAGAAACCAACAGGGAUUGCCCCAGUAACGGCGAGUGAAGCGGCAACAGCUCAAAUUUGAAAUCUGGCCCCAGGCCCGAGUUGUAAUUUGCAGAGGAUGCUUUUGGCGCGGUGCCUUCCGAGUUCCCUGGAACGGGACGCCAUAGAGGGUGAGAGCCCCGUACGGUUGGACACCAAGUCUUUGUAAAGCUCCUUCGACGAGUCGAGUUUUUGGGGAAUGACA
rnacentral:rRNA from 1 species